UAUCACUUGUCUUGCCUCAAUGUGGAGAAUAAUCACCAACUAGGUUGAAAAUGGAAUGAACAAGCUCAACUUGCUAUGCAGUACACAGUGAAUAUAUGAAAUAGAGAAACUAAUGUUUUUCUCCAUUUUUGGGAUGUUUAAACUCAUUGAAAUCGCCUAUCACUCAAUGAUUAAUUCAAGUGUGAACAAGAUAAUGCCACUCACCUUCCUCAUAUGAUCCACCCCAACCUCCAUUUCGUUUUGAAAUGGGCUCAUUCUUGAUAGGAUUAUACUGAAAAGUUCCUUCAAUAAUUUGAGCUCGAUCGGCUUCAACAAAAGUCACUUGUAGUAUGUAGGGAUAAUGAAAUGAAAUGGCCAACAUCCUCUUGGUCCGCAACCUCUUGC
rnacentral:lncRNA from 1 species